GCCAGACUCCUACGGGAGGCAGCAGUGGGGAAUAUUGGACAAUGGGCGCAAGCCUGACCCAGCAACGCCGCGUGAAGGAAGAAGGCUUUCGGGUUGUAAACUUCUUUUCUGGGGGACGAACAAAUGACGGUACCCCAGGAAUAAGCCACGGCUAACUACGUGCCAGCAGCCGCGGUAAUACGUAGGUGGCAAGCGUUAUCCGGAUUUAUUGGGUGUAAAGGGCGUGUAGGCGGGAAUGCAAGUCAGAUGUGAAAACUCAGGGCUCAACCCUGAGCCUGCAUUUGAAACUGUGUUUCUUGAGUGCUGGAGAGGCAAUCGGAAUUCCGUGUGUAGCGGUGAAAUGCGUAGAUAUACGGAGGAACACCAGUGGCGAAGGCGGAUUGCUGGACAGUAACUGACGCUGAGGCGCGAAAGCGUGGGGAGCAAACAGGAUUAGAUACCCUCGUAC
rnacentral:rRNA from 1 species